AUUGAACGCUGGCGGCAGGCCUAACACAUGCAAGUCGAGCGGAUGAGUAGAGCUUGCUCUUCGAUUCAGCGGCGGACGGGUGAGUAAUGCCUAGGAAUCUGCCUGGUAGUGGGGGACAACGUCUCGAAAGGGACGCUAAUACCGCAUACGUCCUACGGGAGAAAGCAGGGGACCUCGGGCCUUGCGCUAUCAGAUGAGCCUAGGUCGGAUUAGCUUGUUGGUGAGGUAAUGGCUCACCAAGGCAACGAUCCGUAACUGGUCUGAGAGGAUGAUCAGUCACACUGGAACUGAGACACGGUCCAGACUCCUACGGGAGGCAGCAGUGGGGAAUAUUGGACAAUGGGCGAAAGCCUGGUCCAGCCAUGCCGCGUGUGCGAAGAAGGUCUUCGGAUUGUAAAGCACUUUAAGUUGGGAGGAAGGGCAGUCAGCGAAUACCUGGUUGUUUUGACGUUACCGACAGAAUAAGCACCGGCUAACUCUGUGCCAGCAGCCGCCGUAAGAC
rnacentral:rRNA from 1 species